CCUCAGUAACGGCGAGUGAAGCGGCAACAGCUCAAAUUUGAAAUCUGGUCCCCUCUGGGGGCCCGAGUUGUAAUUUGAAGAGGAUGCUUUUGGCGAGGCGCCGUCCGAGUUCCCUGGAACGGGACGCCGCAGAGGGUGAGAGCCCCGUACGGUCGGACGCCGAGCCUCUGUAAAGCUCCUUCGACGAGUCGAGUAGUUUGGGAAUGCUGCUCAAAAUGGGAGGUAAACCCCUUCUAAAGCUAAAUACCGGCCAGAGACCGAUAGCGCACAAGUAGAGUGAUCGAAAGAUGAAAAGCACUUUGAAAAGAGAGUUAAAAAGCACGUGAAAUUGUUAAAAGGGAAGCGCUUGCGACCAGACUUGCGCCCGUCGGAUCAACCGUCGCUUGCGGCGGCGCACUCCGGCGGGCUCAGGCCAGCAUCAGUUCGCUCGGGGGGAGAAAGGCGGCGGGAAUGUAGCUCCUCGGAGUGUUAUAGCCCGCCGUGUAAUACCCUCGGGUGGACUGAGGACCGCGCGUAUGCAAGGAUGCUGGCGUAAUGGUCGUCAGCGACCCGUCUUGAAACACGGACCAAGGAGUCGUCCUAAUAUGCGAGUGUACGGGUGUCAAACCCCUGCGCGUAAUGAAAGUGAACGGAGGUGAGAGCUUCGGCGCAUCAUCGACCGAUCCUGAUGUUAUCGGAUGGAUUUGAGUAAGAGCAUAUUGGGCCGGACCCGAAAGAAGGUGAACUAUGCCUGUGUAGGGUAAAGCCAGAGGAAACUCUGGUGGAGGCUCGCAGCGGUUCUGACGUGCAAAUCGAUCGUCAAACAUGGG
rnacentral:rRNA from 1 species